rnacentral:rRNA from 1 species
GAUGAACGCUGGCGGCGUGCCUAAUACAUGCAAGUCGAGCGAACGGACGAGAAGCUUGCUUCUCUGAUGUUAGCGGCGGACGGGUGAGUAACACGUGGAUAACCUACCUAUAAGACUGGGAUAACUUCGGGAAACCGGAGCUAAUACCGGAUAAUAUUUUGAACCGCAUGGUUCAAAAGUAAAAGACGGUCUUGCUGUCACUUAUAGAUGGAUCCGCGCUGCAUUAGCUAGUUGGUAAGGUAACGGCUUACCAAGGCAACGAUGCAUAGCCGACCUGAGAGGGUGAUCGGCCACACUGGAACUGAGACACGGUCCAGACUCCUACGGGAGGCAGCAGUAGGGAAUCUUCCGCAAUGGGCGAAAGCCUGACGGAGCAACGCCGCGUGAGUGAUGAAGGUCUUCGGAUCGUAAAACUCUGUUAUUAGGGAAGAACAUAUGUGUAAGUAACUGUGCACAUCUUGACAGUACCUAAUCAGAAAGCCACGGCUAACUACGUG